UACGGAGGAUGCAAGCGUUAUCCGGAAUGAUUGGGCGUAAAGCGUCCGCAGGUGGCAAUGUAAGUCUGCUGUCAAAGCGUCUGGCUCAACCAGAUAAAGGCAGUGGAAACUACAUAGCUAGAGUAAGGUAGGGGUAGAGGGAAUUCCCGGUGUAGCGGUGAAAUGCGCAGAUAUCGGGAAGAACACCCGUGGCGAAGGCGGCUCUCUGGGACGGUACUGACGCUGAGACGCGAAAGCGUGGGGAGCGAACAGG
rnacentral:rRNA from 1 species